rnacentral:lncRNA from 1 species
CAAAAUAACAAGAUUCUCCCAAAAAAUGUAGAGUAUCCAAACAUCAAUCUUCUGUCAGAAGGGGAGUUCAGACAAUUAACAUCUGUGUAAUAUCAGACCUUAAGGUGCCGUCGAGCACUGUUGAGUAUUGCAAGACCUGGUGCCACUACAAGAUACUGCAGGAUGAAAAAAAAGAAAACAUCCUCAAGAUAAGGUUAUAUAAACUAUCCCUCCAAUCUUCUGUACAUUUCCAGAUAUGUAAGUGGUUUUCCUUAAUCUUCACACCCAACUUGAAAUUAAUCUCAAUAGGAGUUUACCUCCCUAUCUUGGAGGAUUUUAUAAGUUCAUUUGGCUUAGUUUUGAUCAUUUGGCUGUCCUAGAGAAUGCAUAACAUGGUGGCGGAAAUGUCAUUUAUGUUAAAAGAAAAGGCAACAUUGGUGAUAACAGCUAGGGACAAAGCUGAUGUUGAAUAGUCAAUUUCUAUAAUACACUUUUGAAAACUUUCCAGUGGUGACUUAUUUUGGAGAUGAUUUUACUACAUUAACAC